GACGAACGCUGGCGGCGUGCUUAAUACAUGCAAGUCGAACGGAAAGGCCCUGCUUUUGUGGGUUGCUCGAGUGGCGAACGGGUGAGUAACACGUGAGUAACCUGCCCUUGACUUUGGGAUAACUUCAGGAAACUGGGGCUAUAACCGGAUAGAAUAUCCUGCUCCGUGUGGGUGGUUGGAGAGUUCCGGCGUUGGGGGAUGGAUUCGCGGCUUACCCGCUGGUUGUGGGGGUAGUGGCUUACAAAGGCUUUGACGGAUAGCCGGCCUGGGAGGUUGACCGGCCACAUUGGGACUGAGAUACGGCCCAGACUCGUACGGGAGGCAGCGGUGGGGAGUAUUGCACAAUAGGCGGAAGCGUGAUGCAGCAACGCCGCGUGCGGGAUAACGGCCUUCGGGGUGAAAACCGCUGUCGCCUGUGACGAAGCGUGAGUGACGGUAAUGAGUAAGGAAGCACCGGCUAACUACGUG
rnacentral:rRNA from 1 species